rnacentral:rRNA from 1 species
GUAGUCAUAUGCUUGUCUCAAAAAUUAACACAUGCAUGUCUAAGUAUAAAUAGUAUACAGUGAAACUGCGAAUGGCUCAUUAAAACAGUUAUAGUUUAUUUGAUAAUGGAAAGCUACAUGGAUAACCGUGGUAAUUCUAGAGCUAAUACAUGCUGUCAAGCCCGACUUUUUGGAAGGGUUGUAUUUAUUAGAUAUCAAGCCAAUAUUCCUUCGGGUCUAUUGUGGUGAAUCAUAGUAACUGAUCGAAUCCCUUCUUGGGAUAAAUCAUUCAAGUUUCUGCCCUAUCAGCUUUCGAUGGUAGUGUAUUGGACUACCAUGGCAUUAACGGGUACGGAGAAUUAGGGUUCGAUUCCGGAGAGGGAGCCUGAGAAACGGCUACCACAUCUAAGGAAGGCA